rnacentral:tRNA from 1 species
GCCCUAGUAAUUUAAAGCUAAAGUAUCGGUCUUGUAAGCCGAACAUGACGGUUAAAUUCCAUCCUCGGGCU